UGUGGUGUGUGUGUGCGUGUGUGUGUGUGUUUCUUCAGGUUUAAAGACUAAACUAUCUGGAAUAAGAAUAGUAUCUUAUGAUUCUUUAAAAUUUUGAGCCUGGGCUGGCGCAGUGGAUUACGCCUGUAAUCCCAGCACUUUGGGAGGCCGAGGUGGGCGGAUCACCUGAGGUCAGGAGUUCAAGACCAACCUGACCAACAUGGAGAAACCCGUCUCUCCUAAAAAUACAAAAUUGGCCGGGAAUGGUGGCACAUGCCUGGAAUACCAGCUACUUGGGAGGCUGAGGCAGGAGCAUCAUUUGAACCCAGGAGGCGGAGGUUGCGGUGAGCUGAGAUUGCACCAUUGCACUCUAGCCUGGGCAACGAGAGCAAAACUCCGUCUCUCAAAAAAAAAAAAAAAAUUUUUUUUUUUUGAGCUUGGCCAGGUAUGGUGGCUCAUGCCUAUAAUCCCAGCACUUUGGGAGGCUGAGGUAGGAGGAUCACUUGAGCCUAGGAGUUUGAGAUCAGCCUGGGCAACAUAGUGAGAUCCUGUCUCUAAAAAUAAAUAAAUAAAUAAGUAAAUAUUUAAAAAUAAUUUCAAACCCAUGUUGUUCACAGUUUAAAAAAAAAAAAACAAAAAAAAUUUUGAGCCUCACCUUAGUGAUAAUGUUGGGUAAUUGUAAAUAAAAUAAUUCAUGACUUAAAUUAGUUUGCUAUUUUGAUAAUUUAUACCUUGGUACCGUUCUUACAAUUUUAUGUAUUUUCUGCUUCGAGUCUCUUAUGUAAACUGCCAAAUGGGAUUAAAUUAUAAUGGACACGGGGACUACAAAAACUUCCCUGUCCCUCUCCUCUCAUCAGUGUAAACUUUCCUUGCAAUGCACAGGACAGCAGGGAGCCAAUCUGGGAUAUUCACAGCUGGGCCACAAGAGCCACCACCAACCAGAAGAAUCUCCCAUUCCACAACCAAAGAAGUCUGAAGAAAAAAGCAGCCAUUUUAUAAACACAGCAGGUGACCUGCCUGAUCUCAUCAUCAGAAAUCUUUAGAACCCUUUAAAGAAAAUUACGGCCACAGAAAAAGAUCUUGGAGACAGUCUAAUCUAAUUGACAAAAGAAGGAAACUUUUAAAGAUGAUGCAAAAUUUUGAGAUGAUCCAGCUCAACUGGCCUCUUAUGUAGAUGAGAAUGCUGAUAUCCAACAGGCCACUACCACUACUUCAGCAGUGUCUUCUCCACUACCGAUUCAGUGUACCUACAAUCUGCGACAAUGGAAGGUCCACGAACGCAGAGAUUUUUGCCUGCUUUGUUUACAGCUAUUUCUCUCACUUCUAAGAAAGCACCUG